rnacentral:rRNA from 1 species
GACGAACGCUGGCGGCGUGCUUAACACAUGCAAGUCGAGCGGUAAGGCCCUUUCGGGGUACGACGAGCGGCGAACGGGUAGGAGUAACACGUGGGUGACCUCGCCCUCCAGCUCUGGGAGUAAGCCUGGGAAACCGGGUACUAAUACUGGAUAUGACUCCAUGACGCAUGUUGUGGGGUGGAAAGCCUUGUGCGGCUGAGGAUGGGCCCGCGGCCUAUCAGCUUGUUGGUGGGGUGAUGGCCUACCAAGGCGACGACGGGUAGCCGGCCUGAGAGGGCGACCGGCCACACUGGGAC